UGUAGCUUAAAUAAAAGCAUAACACUGAAGAUGUUAAUAUGGGCCCUAAUAAGCCCCAAAAGCAC
rnacentral:tRNA from 1 species